AAAAUAAAAAACUAAACUAAAACUAAAGAGCCCAUACCAUUAGCCUCUAAACCCUUGAAAAUUCUCUCAACUUCCCUUUAAAACAUUCUCAAAAGUCUAUGUCUUCUACCUCCACUAAUUAAAUAUAAGGUUUCUCAAGUGCAAACAUUCAUGAACUUUAGAACUUAUUUUUAAGUUAGUUAUGUUGUUUUUCUAGGUUUUAGAAAUUACUGCUAGUUUGGAAAAUGGUUCUCAAUGAACCUUGGAAUGCAAGAAUAGGAACUGAGUCAGAAUGUUCCAUUGUCAAUGACGGUCCAAUUGUGACAAAGAGCAUGGCUUUUGGAGUGAUUCUGAGCUAUGUUUGAAUCCUGACUCCAGCAUUUACUGGCUGUGUGACUUUGAAACCUCUGGAGUGUUCUAACUGGCAAAAACAAUGGUACUUUGCGGUUUUGAGCCUGGGAAACCUAAAAAAAACUUUGGCAAUUGUGUCUCUUCUCACUUCAUGGCUCUGGAAAACAAGAAGACUGCUCAGCUUGACUCCAAGAAUUCCACCUUCCCCUAAAAAUGAGGAAGAUAGGGCUCCAUGUGCAUGUACCACAAUCCCAUCAGCAAUAGUCAGUUGGAGCAGAGGAUUUUUAGGCUGGAUAAAGGAGCAUCUUACCCUUCCCAGGACAGACUAGUCGGCCUCUGCAGUCUGACUAAAAACCAAGGAGACCAAAUGUGAAGUCAGCGUGGGACACAAGAGAUUCGAGCGGGAGUCAUGAAAGCACGGAGAGCUGUGUCUCAGGAAAGGCAGCGCUAAUGGAGAUGGGUCAGAUGGGAACUGAAAGCAGACAGUGAGGCGUGGAGGCUCCUGCCACAGCCUGUGAAACAGUGAAUGAAAUGCAGCCUCAGUGAAAGCAGUGGUGCUGUGGUGAAGAGGAGGAGGCAGAUUCUCAUGCUGUCGGACAGGAUGCUUGUCCAGGUGGAAGUGGAGAGUGAAAGAGAGGGGUCAGGUAACUCUGAAGUUUCUUGCCUGAAUAACUGAAAGGAUGAAAUACACUUUCAGAGA
rnacentral:lncRNA from 1 species